GCGGGCGGGGAGGUGCCGCGGCGGCGGUGCCAGCGCCCGGCCCGGGAGGAUGCGGACGCGCUGACGGAGCUGCCGGCUCCCCUCUGCCGCCGUGCAUGGGCGGCGGGCGGCUGCCGCCUCGCCUCGCCUGCCCCGCCGGCACUUUUAGGAUUUGACAGUUUGCAGGACACUUCAUCAGCGACGCCAGCGCCUGCAGCAAGGACAGUUUUUGGGGGCGACAUCCGUUGAUGUGAUUGAAGCAUGACAGAGGUGAUGAACACACGAGAACCAGUGAUGGAGGAAUUCGCACUCAGCCAGACUCCUGAGGAAGAAGGAGGCCCUUCAAGCCAGGCCUUCCCAGACUCACGUGAGAAGUACCCCAAGCUGUCCAAAAGACUGCCUUCGAUCGUGGUGGAGCCGACCGAGUCCGGGGAGGUGGAGAGUGGGGAGCUGCGCUGGCCUCCUGAGGACCUGAAAUCAGCAGAGGACAAGGGUCUUCAUGGUGACCAAAGAGUCUGUGUCCAGCAGCAGCAGCAGCAGCAGAUGGAUCUGGAAGAUACUUUAGCACACCCAGCUCAAGAAGUGGAAGACAGUACAGAUACCCUGGAAAGCAGAACUGAAGAGCAUGAAUAGGAGCUCCAUGGCCUCAGAAGUGAAACUUCAUUGUGAAUGUUGUUGGAAAGCUAACACACUCUGAAGACAUGUCAAAGUAAUCUGUAUUUAAAUCUGCAAGGGUUUUAUUUAGUUAGUACCUAAAGAAGCGUCUGGGCUUUAGAACUGUUCUUUUAACAUUUUGAUUUUCAGGCUGGGAUUCAUACUAUUUGUUUAAUUUUCCCUUGGGAAGCAGUGGGAUGUGUUAGGAAAUAUGAGACUGUCAAGGAAAAGAUGCUCCUCAUUUCAAUUAGCGCAUUGCAUUGGUUUUACCUUUUCCAAGAAAGGCUGCUUUCAGAUAUCAACAGCAGGACAAAGGUGUUGCGUUUCUACAGGAAGGUUGUCUUAAAUCUAAAACCUUUCUUUUUUUUUUUAGCCAUUUAAAACUAGCACUGUGAUAUUAUGGACAAUAGAUGUAAUAUAAUGUCACCAGUUGAUUUUGUAACUUUUGUAUAGAGAUGCAAGGGCAAGGUUUGCCUCCUGGCUGCCACCCCAGGGCAGCCCAGAGCAGUUCUCUCCCUUUGGCUAACCUGUGCAAAUUUGAAUGAACCAGCCUUUCCUUAGCUGCCUUUUCAGUAAGGCUGAUGCCUUUUGGAAGCGCUUUCUCUCUGUACAUUGAUGAAACGAUGAGCUAGUCGCUGGUGUUUGUGGAGUGGGGCUGUCUGGGGUGGGCUUGGUUGGGUGGAUCGUGCUGUUUGUGCACGCUUCAGGCCAGGUGGGGAGCACUUCCCUCCCUUAAAGCCAACGAGAUGGCUCCUGCUCCCCCCAGGGCUGGUUUUGUUCCACCUUGUUAAUAGAAAUUGUUGUGACAUUUCUUCUUUGGUAUGUUUGGUGUGUAACCCAAGUGCAGAGAUGCAUCUGUUCUUCCCCUGACCCAAGCUGGGCAGUGGUAGGGGGUAGGUGGCAGGAGCUCCCUAGCACAUCUCAAACCUGUCCUUCAUUUUGUCUGGCUUCAGGUUUCCCCCUGAGCCACCUGCAGUAGGAGAGGGUGGAGGAGAGCUGCGGUGGUGGGACAAACACCUGCCUCCCUCCUGCCCCAGUGGUGCUGCUGGCGGGAGCACACAUGCCAAGGGGUGCCCUCACAGCUCCCUUGGCUUUGGAUGCAUAGUCACCUCCUGGGGCCCAGAGCUCACAGGAGGACAAGCUGUCUCUGGACACCUCUGGCCUCCAGUGGAUUUUCCUUGGGAAUUUGGGGGUCAUUUUGACAGAUGUGAACCCCUUCCUGCAUGGGAACCUCCAAGAGACUCCCUCCCAGUGUCCCAGGAGAAGUAUCUAUCUCAGCUCAAAACCCUUUGGAUGGUGCUGGUGGGGGUAGAGAAUGUGUGUACUCAGAGGGACUUAACUGUGUCGGUGAUGAGUGUCCCGUAAGCUGUGAGGUUGGCUUUCUCCAUCUCUGCAGGGCUGGAUGGGGUCUGUACUUCCAAUUAAUGUUGCAUCCAGAAGAAGCCGCUUGCUGUAGAUGGAAUGAAGUAACAGGAUUCCUUCCAGCAUUAACUCCUAAGUUGACUUCCAAGUGCUUUCUUUUCUCCAGUAAUAAUUUUCUCUAAUGGCAACUUUUAAUUGUGUGAUGGUCAAUAAAAUUUACUGGCCAGAUGUAUUAAUAAGUUUAUAACUUCUUAGCAACCAAAUUUAAUAUAUUUACUCACAAAGAAUUCUGUGCAAUGAAUGUUUAAUACAAAGGGAAGAGACUAUUUUACUUCAAAGCAACAUUAAUUUAUGUACAAAACUAUAGCUCAUUCUUUGGGGUGUUUGGGAUCUAGGACCCUUUUUAUAAGCAGUGUAGUACAGUAUAAUGUGAUACUUAAGUUAAACUUUGCUCUCUCAACCUAUAUAACAAUUUGUUUUGCAUUCUUGAUGUAGACUUUCUUGAGUACACUGUCACAGAAUUAUUUUGUCAGGUGAGUGGGAUUCUGGUCAGAGCACUGAAUUUCACCAGAGUAACUGAAGGUUUCAAGAGCACCUCCUAAAUCUGGCUGCUAUCACACCCUUCACUGGUGACAGUUUUCUGACAAAGCCAAUGAAGCAAGAACAAGCUCAAGCUACAUGUUGGGGUAGCAGUGGAGCAGUGAGGGGAGGUCACCAGCUUGGACCCACCAUGGGCAGGAGAAGAGCCAUGCUGGCGAGGUGGCCAGGCUGAUGGGAGGUGUUUUUAAAUGCUGCUUUUGCAUCGAAUGUCAAGAAGUUUUACAAAGCUCUGGGGAGAAAACAACAGUGGUGACGACAUAUUUUUAGCUCUGUGAUUUCCUUCCAAUCUGCGUCUGCCCAGCUCCGUGAGGAAUGACGUUAGACAUAUCACUUAAUUUGCUUUUUGCUUUAUAAAAGGAAAAACAGUUGUUUGAAACACUUCCCUCAAUUUUAUGUGCUCUCUAUCUGCUUUCAGACGCUCCCUCCCUUCCUGCUCUGGAUGGCCCUUAUCCUAUUUCCACCUGAGGUCAAUGGCACUUCCCUAAACAAGUUUCCCAAAGAAACAACAAAAUUCUACAUACACCCUGAAAACACACCAUGCAAGCAGCACUACUUUUUUCAUCCAUGUAUGUAAAGCUACAGCCCAUAUAGAAAUCCCAGAUUUCCUUUUUCCAGCCUAAUUACUCCUCUCUUUUCUUUUCCCCUCUUUUCCACUUCUCCCCUGAAUUAUUUUACCUGAAGUGGUUGCUUCAAACUAAAGCUUUCUCCUAAAGCUGUGUGGCCUCAGUUUAACAUCCAUGCAAAGCCAAACUCCUCCUCCCAUUUUUAUUUUUCUGAACAUGGGCCAGAGGCCCUAAAACAGGAGAGCAAGAUAGAGAGAAAAUUGUUUUAUACAAACAAGCCCUAUUUAUUGAACUUGCAGGUCUAUGAAUGUCCACUUACUUUGUCAGUGUGCAAGUGUUGUCUCUCUAAUAAACUCAAUAGUUGUUUUGUAUUUUUUUCUGGAUUAAAAGCUUUGUAGAAACUAAAAAGAAAAAAAACCAUUCGGUCAUAUUUUUCUAGUCUGGCUUGUAGAAUACUUCAUGUAGUGCAGAAAGGAAGUUUUAUGGAGUAAGACAUUGUUGGAUUUUGCUCUAUUUCAGUUCUUUCUAAUUUUGUAAAAUGCCACCUGUACAUAAUACUCAACUAAUGUAUGUCCUGUAGAUGUAUUACACCAUUUAGCCUAUUAAAUGCCUAUACUGGACCGAUUGGAAGAA